CGGUGCGCUGGGUGGGGCUAGUGCGGCCCGGCCGGGAGGCGGCUCGUCUGCGGCGCUGAGGUCGUCCCAAGGGGCUGCUUCUGGGGCCCUCCUGGCCCGCUGACUCGAGGCCCUUUCCCUUCCCGGCUCCUCUCCGCCGCGCGGACGGUCACCAGCUCUCCAGACUCACCGCAGCCCGCAGCGUGACCCGGGCCUUGCCCUCGCUUCUGGGUGCAGGGAGCACAAGCAGGGGGAGUGACAGGCAGAGUGAGAAGAAGCCUCC